ensembl:lncRNA
UGAUCAGUAUUUGUGACAUAGUGUCUGUGAAAGCAAAUCUCAGAGGGAAUUCUGUCACGUACAACAUCCACUGGGUACACGGGGAAAACACACUGUGGUGAAAUACAGGCAUCUUUAGAAGGGCUGAGACCAAGGCAAACAUUUGAAGACAAAAAUGAGGGGAAAUUAUAACAGACACUGCAACAUUCGUACAAUUGUGUGGAAUAUUCUGAGGAUUUGGGGGGUCUGACAAGCUCCCAAACUUCAUGCAGUCCUUGGCAAAAGGAAAAUAGAAGCAGACCUCUUUUAUCCUUGCAACAAAUUGAGACCUUGGGAUAAGAGAGUAAAAGUAAUAAUCAAGACUCACUUUGAUACUUUAAAGUAAGCAUUUUAUUUUCAGUCUGAUCUCCGUCCAUGUUGGUUGAAAUAUUUCCUCUAAUGGCGUACACAGCAAGCUGAGUAGAGACAAGUCUG